GGGGUUGUGGCUCAGUGGUAGAGCGCUCACCUAGCAUUGUGAGAUGCUGGGUUCAAUCCUCAGCACCA
rnacentral:tRNA from 1 species